UAGAUACGAGAUCGCAUAUAUAUUCACACCGAAUUGUGCGCAUCGUCGCGAAGUUGACAAAAUUUGUUUCAAUAGACAAUCUUGCGGCAACGUCGUUUAUGUUGACACUUUUGUUCAUUUUGCAGUGCUUUAUUAUUGAUUUACUUAUGUAUACUUUUUUGAAGUACUAUAAUUUUCGAUUGGGCAGCAUUUUUAUGGCGUAGAAAUAAUUAGGGUAUUCACAAGGUGUCAUAUUGUGUCAUAUCAUCAUAUUUUCUAAAUUUUUUAUGACUGUCGUAUCAACACUGUUGUUGUUUCUCAUGCAAAAUUAAAAUACAACACUGCGAGGUAUAUUUUUCGAGUGUGCUAUUCUAUCAGCUGUAUCUGUUUACAUUUUGAUGUUUACGUUAUGUGUCUAAAAUUUAUAAAUGAAAUAAAUUUGAUCAAUUUCGAUAAUAAUAUGGAAGGACGCAACGAUAUUCAGUGUAAACCAAAACGCCGCCGUUUCAACCCGGUGCAUAAGUGGAUUGCGAUAAAAGAAAAAGCGCUUGUGGAGUUCCUAAUGGACAAUAGAAGCUUCGAGAGAAACCAACGGCUCAAAACUUCUAUGGUCAGUUUAUUCAAGAAAGGCAAGUGGCAGUAGGAUGGAAAAUAGUGCGCGCAAAAGUUCACAACAUGUGCACUAGUUAUAAUAAAGCAAAGGCGUGGGAAGGGUCGACAGGUGCAAUUGUGAUAUUUUCGGCAGCAGAUUAAAUAGUUCUGCAGUAGUGGAAGACAGCUUGAUGACCCUGAUAGAAAGCGAUUCGACAAGUCAAUCGGCAGCAGAAGAAGCUAAAGUUGAAGAUGUGGCACAAACACAAAGUCGAAGGCAGAAGGGAAUUUAUUCCAAAACUGCCUUGUCGGAUAUUUUAGAGGUUCAUGGCGAGAUUGCGGAGAUAAGGAAGCUAAAGUUAGAGAUGGAUGUGGCAGCAAGGGAAAGGGAAAUGUCAAUUAAAGAAAAAGAACUAGAGUUAAAGUAAAAAGAAAUAGAGCUAAAAAACAAAAAAGAAAUUGACGAUAAAUUAGAAAUAGAAAAAAUGCUAUUGCAAAUGCAGGAGAGGUUGGCAAUGGAGGAACUUAGACUUAAAUAUGAGUAAUUUUAUUAUUUAUUGCAUUUUUAGUAUACAUUUGUUAUGACGUUAUUUUUUUGUGUUUUUUUUUAUGUUUUAAAUGAAAUUUUUAUGUUAUAUUUAUUUUUUUUUUGUGAUAUAAUAUUAAUUCUUGGUACAUUUUGAAGUAUAUAUAUGAAAAUACAAUGAGAACCAUGUUGCAAUGAAUGUACCUAACGCAAAAUAAAAAAAUUAGAAUUAAAAAUAUAGUUGGAUUUAAUGAAGUAAAAUGAUAACGGAUUUUUAUUAAAUUGUAUGAUUAAAGAAUAUAUACAUACAUAUAUGUGUAUAAGUAUUUUGAUUUUGUAUAUAACGAAGCAAGUAAUUUCUCCUAAUAUUUCCUGAUGUUGAAGGAAAUUAAGGCAUCCAAACUUCAUUGCUGUUUCCAACAUCUGUUUCGAAAUUUAUUAACAUGUUGUGAAGAAUACAGCACACCAUAAUCCAGUCAUUGCAUUCCUUCUUAUUUGACGUUGAGAUCAUUCUAAAUUUAAGCUCCUUCAAGCUACCGAACUUCUCUUUCAAAAGACCAAAAUAAUUCUCAAUUCGUACGCGGUAUUUGGAAAAAUACGCGUUAAAUGAAUCCGUUUCUUCCUUUGUAUGUUCAACGCUGUUUUGCCGGAAGGGCGGUAUUAAAUAUGACUUCAGUGGAUAUGCUCUAUCUCCCGCGACCCACUGUGAUGUCGGUAAGAAGCGUUCCUGGUGUUUUGCGAGUGAACAAUUUGAAAAUAUUUUCGCGUCAUGUACACUGCCUGUGUAACCGGUGCCGGGAUGUUUCCA